AACUCAAAAUACCUUACUAAUGAAUCCCGCGGAAAGCCAACAGCAUCAAAAACCAACAGCAAAGAAACAAGGAGCAAGCAAUAGCAUCCCCUUGCCUCUCCCUCUCGCUAACCAAUCAAUCAACCAAAUCCCAUCACUCGAACAAAGCUAGCGCAGAGGCAGCAAGAAACCUCCCGGGCAGACGUGCGCGCAGAUUGCUUCAAAGCAAACCUAGCUUGCUUGACUUCGUCGAUCGAGCAACUGAUCAAUCUUAUACCUACGGAUCACCACGAGAGGCAAAGCUUAGCUAGCUAGGCACUCGCAGCGAGCGAUCGAGGCGAGGCGAAGGCUGCAGCCAUGCUGGAGCUGCUGGUGGUGGGCUGCAGCAGUGUGGUGCUGCUCCUCCACGGCGCCAACUUCCUCCUCCGCGCGCUCUUCGCUCGCCGCGGCGCCGUCGCGCGCCCCAUCAGCUUCCUCGGGUUCGUCGCGUGAGCGAGUGAUGGAUCUCAUCGACGGAUCGACCCUGUGCCGGUGCCGCACACCCCAAGGCCAGCGACGGAUCAAGUAGUGGACGACCGUAUAAUAGUACUCCGAUCGACCAACCGAGAUAUGUAAAAUUCGUGAACAACCAAGAUGUGCGCGGUUACGCGUACAUGUACAUGUAGUAGGCCUAGGCCACCUAGCACGGCAGCAGUAGCAUACAUCGAACGGAUUGAUGCAUAUGAUUGACCAAUGACCGAUUUCUCCC